rnacentral:rRNA from 1 species
UACGUAGGGUGCAAGCGUUAAUCGGAAUUACUGGGCGUAAAGCGUGCGCAGGCGGUUUUGUAAGUCUGAUGUGAAAUCCCCGGGCUCAACCUGGGAAUUGCAUUGGAGACUGCAAGGCUAGAAUCUGGCAGAGGGGGGUAGAAUUCCACGUGUAGCAGUGAAAUGCGUAGAUAUGUGGAGGAACACCGAUGGCGAAGGCAGCCCCCUGGGUCAAGAUUGACGCUCAUGCACGAAAGCGUGGGGAGCAAACAGGAUUAGAUACCCCCGUAGUCC